GAGUUCUACCGUUGGUCGGGCUUUGUCUGUACUGGCGUGUAGAAUUUCUACCUUCUGGGGAACCAUCAUGUUAUUAAUUUAGCGUGGUGGGAAACCAGAACUUUUACCUUGAAAAAAUUAGAGUGUUCAAAGCAGGCUUAUGUCUGAAUACAUUAGCAUGGAAUAAUAGAAUAGGACGGUGGUCCUGUUUUGUUGGUUUCUGAAUCACCGUAAUGAUUAA
rnacentral:rRNA from 1 species